UUUGUAUAAUGGGUCAGCGACUUAUAUUCAGUGGCAAGGUUAACCAUCUAGGGGAGCCGUAGGGAAACCGAGUCUUAACUGGGCGUUCAGUCUCUGGAUAUAGACCCGAAACCAGGUGAUCUAGCCAUGGGCAGGUUGAAGGUUGAGUAACAUCAACUGGAGGACCGAACCGACUAAUGUUGAAAAAUUAGCGGAUGACUUGUGGCUAGGGGUGAAAGGCCAAUCAAACCUGGAGAUAGCUGGUUCUCCCCGAAAGCUAUUUAGGUAGCGCCUCGGACGAAUACUACUGGGGGUAGAGCACUGUUAAGGCUAGGGGGUCAUCCCGACUUACCAACCCUUUGCAAACUCCGAAUACCAGUAAGUACUAUCCGGGAGACACACGGCGGGUGCUAACGUCCGUCGUGGAGAGGGAAACAACCCAGACCGCCAGCUAAGGUCCCAAAUUACUGCUAAGUGGGAAACGAUGUGGGAAGGCUCAGACAGCCAGGAUGUUGGCUUAGAAGCAGCCAUCAUUUAAAGAAAGCGUAAUAGCUCACUGGUCGAGUCGGCCUGCGCGGAAGAUGUAACGGGGCUAAGUAGUAAACCGAAGCUGCGGCAAUAUACUUUUGUAUAUUGGGUAGGGGAGCGUUCUGUAAGCGGU
rnacentral:rRNA from 1 species